AUAUAUAUAUAUAUAUAUCUUAACCUGGAAUAAUACAGAGACCAUCAGCAUGGCCUCCCCCUAGGAUGGCACACACAAAUUCGUAAAGGGUUCCAUUUAUGU
rnacentral:snRNA from 1 species